rnacentral:rRNA from 1 species
GACGAACGCUGGCGGCGUGCCUAAUACAUGCAAGUAGAACGCUGAAGAGAGGAGCUUACUCUUCUUGGAUGAGUUGCGAACGGGUGAGUAACGCGUAGGUAACCUGCCUUGUAGCGGGGGAUAACUAUUGGAAACGAUAGCUAAUACCGCAUAACAAUGGAUGACACAUGUCAUUUAUUUGAAAGGGGCAAUUGCUCCACUACAAGAUGGACCUGCGCUGUAUUAGCUAGUAGGUGAGGUAAUGGCUCACCUAGGCGACGAUACAUAGCCGACCUGAGAGGGUGAUCGGCCACACUGGGACUGAGACACGGCCCAGACUCCUACGGGAGGCAGCAGUAGGGAAUCUUCGGCAAUAGGGGCAACCCUGACCGAGCAACGCCGCGUGAGUGAAGAAGGUUUUCGGAUCGUAAAGCUCUGUUGUAAGUCAAGAACGGGUGUGAGAGUGGAAAGUUCACACUGUGACGGUAGCUUACCAGAAAGGGACGGCUAACUACGUG